AUUGAACGCUGGCGGCAGGCUUAACACAUGCAAGUCGAGCGGGGGAAGGUAGCUUGCUACCGGACCUAGCGGCGGACGUGUGAGUAAUGCUUAGGAAUCUGCCUAUUAGUGGGGGACAACAUCUCGAAAGGGAUGCUAAUACCGCAUACGUCCUACGGGAGAAAGCAGGGGAUCUUCGGACCUUGCGCUAAUAGAUGAGCCUAAGUCGGAUUAGCUAGUUGGUGGGGUAAAGGCCUACCAAGGCGACGAUCUGUAGCCGGUCUGGGAGGAUGAUCCGCCACACUGGGACUGAGACACGGCCCAGACUCAUACGGGUGGCAGCAGUGGGGAAUAUUGGACAAUGGGAGGAACCCUGAUCCAGCCAUGCCGCGUGUGUGAAGAAGGCCUUAUGGUUGUAAAGCACUUUAAGCGAGGAGGAGGCUCUUUUGGUUAAUACCCAAGAUGAGUGGACGUUACUCGCAGAAUAAGCACCGGCUAACUUUGUGCCAGCAGCCGCGGUAA
rnacentral:rRNA from 1 species